rnacentral:rRNA from 1 species
UACGUAGGGACCGAGCGUUGUCCGGAUUCAUUGGGCGUAAAGAGCUCGUAGGCGGCUAUUCAAGUCGAACGUGAAAUCUCGGAGCUCAACUCCGAAACUGCGUUCGAUACUGGGCAGCUAGAGUCUGGUAGGGGGAUCUGGAAUUCCUGGUGUAGCGGUGGAAUGCGCAGAUAUCAGGAGGAACACCGGUGGCGAAGGCGGGAUCCUGGGCCAGUACUGACGCUGAGGCGCGAAAGCGUGGGGAGCAAACAGG